CUAUGGUACCAACUCUUUUGCUGUGCCAGCACAGAGGUCUCCAGAGCGACUCUCCUGAAUCAGAUAGCAGGGGCUGUUUGCAGUUUCGUUUCCACGCUUCGCUGACUGGUUAGACAGUGAUCACAGGUUCGGAAGCACGAGCCUCACCACAGCGGAGGAGGCCUCCACUCUGAAGCGGGAUUCCACGCUCCUGCACCCUAAGAUCAGCUAGACUCUCUGCCUUGUUUCAUCUUCUUUCUUUUCCUAAAGAAUCACGGGGAGAACUGACCUCUCUGGGACUCAACCGUGGCUGGAAGGGGACAGGAGAAGCCCUUUCUGGAGGACAGCUGAGCCCUGCAGCUGCCAUCCUGCCUGGCAGGCUAGGGCUGGGCUGCGGGAAGGCCCCCCAGGAGGCUUGGCUGGGCAUGCUCUGUGAAGCCCGAGGUGGCUGGGACUCAUUCUAGUGAUGGACACCAAGUCAGCGGGCUCCUCUCUCCAGUUCCUCGACAUCCCUGGAGGCCCCUCUGCUCCUGCAGCCCUAGCCUUGGAGCUGAUGGUUCCCUCAGUCUUCUCCAGGCCUUGGGGGGGGCCCUCACGCUAGGGUCCCUUCCCAACUCCUCUCUCUGUCUCAUUUCUGCCCAGGGAGGUCCGGCCACUGCACCCCGAGGAAAGGGCUGCUUUCGGCACUCUGCGUGGAGGUCCUGGCUUCUGCCGUCCCUGGAGGCUCCGUUCCCGUUUCGCCAGCUAUUUUGCUGCCUCGGCCAUCUGUUCCCUCCCUGUCAUCUCCUCUCUGCUUUAACCUUAACCACUACUUCACUGCAGAUGGUACCAGGCAGUUCUGCUCUCGACAUCCUUCACGACGCCUGGCCCUCCUUCUCAUCUCCAGCAAGUGAACCGCUCUGUCCUUUUUAAAGCCUCAUCCCAAAGACACGGCCAGAGCUUGGAGUUGGAUUCGCCCCACACAACUCCCCCUCUUUGAUGCCAUCUGCUUUCAACUCCACCACUGGCCAGGGGCAAACACCUACCCCUUCCCCUGCCUUUUCCUCCUGAGACUUCUUCUCAAACUCGGCCAAGAAGCUCUCCUGGCAUGGACAGCGUGUCUGCUCCGGGUCUCUACCUGGUCUCCAUCAACAGAGCCAUGUAACCGCCCAGAGGGCUCCAGGUCCGCAAGCUGAGGCGGAGGCCAGAAACUCUGAAGUUCACUCCUACUGUGGAGGAACGAGGGCUCGUGCUGGGAGUUUGGGUCAUGAACAGUUUCCCUGUAGAAAAUGGACCUGAACACUCUGCAGUAAGGAAUUGUUUCCCAUGCUGGCAUGGUGGGAACCGAACCAAAACACAUUUUCUAUGUUGUCUGAGCUCACAGGGAACAUCCCUCUGCUGUCCUUGCUGUUAUUCUGGCAUGCUGGUGAGAAAAUGCAUGCAUGGGCUUUACUUAGCAACUCGCUCUGCCUCUCCUCUCUGUCAGGGCGCUCCCCUAAAAUCUCUCCUCUUGACGUCUUUUUUCUGGCAUAAGGACCCGGAGCUUUGAGGAGCGCAGCAGCCCAGAAGCUCCUAAGGAGAGAAGCUGUUUUGGUGAGAUUGGUUCCACCAGGCUACAUGCCUUGACUGGGACAGAAAUGGGCUGGGAAGGCCGAAAUUUGACUUCUGCACCUGGAUUUGGGCUAAAAAGUCUCACAGCUCAGCCUCCUUGAUAAGGGUUCUUCUAUCUCCCCUCUAUACUUCCUCUGCAGCAGAAAAGAGUAUCUUGGCCGUGCAGGGAACGCUCUUCUCUCACUCUCGCCACUGGGGUUAAGGGCAGCUACAUUACUAUAGCUCCAAGUCUUGGUUGCCCCCAGAGAGAGGCAGAGAUGUAGCCUGCCCACAUCUGGACACUUGAAGACUCUCCAAACACCUAGAGGAGCUGUGGAUUCAAGUGAAGCAACCAUCUGAUGCCACCACGGUCCCUCCUUCCCUUUGCCUUCCCUUCUUCCCACAAAAGAGAAGCCCAAAUCCGCCACCAGACCAGCCCAUCUGCCCGUGGAAACCAAGGGAACCAAAUGCAUCGUACUGGGUUGCAGGCCUUAAUCUAGCUCUCGCUGAAUUAUUCAGGGAUGGCAUUAACUUAUAAAUGAGUGUGUUUGACUGAUUUUGUGGUUGAUGUACAGAUAAAGUCUAAUGAAAGACA
rnacentral:lncRNA from 1 species